CGAGGAAUUCUGCAGAUGCUGGAAAUUCAAGCAGCACACAUCAAAGUUGCUGGUGAACGCAGCAGGCCAGGCAGUAUCUCUAGGAAGAGGUACAGUCGAUGUUUCAGGCCGAUACCCUUCGUCAGGACUAACUGAAGGAAGAAAAGAAUAUGUGAUUAAGAAAAAGGAAGAAAUCAAAAGAAGACAAAAUAUAUUUGUUAAAUUAAGAUGCUGCCUGACCUGCAAAGUCUUUUGUUUGAAGAAUUUUAUUAGACAACUCAACAGCCUCGGUGGCUGUUACUUACUGAUACUUAUAAUCAUAAUGCUAUGACAACAUAGAUUCUGUCAAAUAUCCAGCAAUCUAUUUACCAAUGAUGGUACAAAACAAAGCUUCCCCUAUAGCAGCCUGAUACAUCAAUUUAUAUCAUAUUCUGUCCAGAAAAGCUAUAACAAAAGAGGAAAUAAUGGUUGGUGGAUUGAAUUACUUGCUUCUAAGUAUUAACGUACUUUUAGAUUUUUUAAUCUUUGUUUCAAUGAGGAGCCAAACAUUUUGUUCUAAUUUUACUCUGUUCAUAAUUUCAAUGUACGAAAAACAUUUUCCCUCGAAGUUAAUAAUGCCUUCCUUCCAUUUCAGUAUAAUAAAUUAUGCCUCGUCAUGAAAUAUAAUGCUAUAAUGGUGACUCAGAUUUAAAUAAAAUACAAUGUAUGUUAACAAAUUCACAUAUCAAGUAUAAAGAUAGUGUGCUUGUUGGUUAUGAAGUGGUACCAGAGCAGUGUCAUGCACAGGCAUCUUCCUUGAGAUGGAACUUCAGUAAUAGACAGUAAAUCUAAAAAAGAUUACUUUGCUGCAUUUGUAAACUGAUUCUGUUGUCCAGUACAAGUUAACAGACAAAUGUAGCA